rfam:Fulvivirga imtechensis AK7 contig110, whole genome shotgun sequence.
CAGGCAGCUCCCGAAAAGCCUUAAAAGAGUAGGGG